UGAUUUGUCAUUGAGUUUGGCUAACAG
rnacentral:piRNA from 1 species